rnacentral:pre_miRNA from 1 species
UGCUGGGGGCCACAUGAGUGUGCAGUCAUCCACACACAAGUGGCCCCCAACACU